rnacentral:tRNA from 2 species
GGUCCGUUCGUCUAGUUGGCCUAGGACGCGAGAUUUUCAUUCUCGAAAUCAGGGGUUCGAAUCCCCUACGGACUA